rnacentral:rRNA from 1 species
UACGAAGGGGGCUAGCGUUUCUCGGAAUCACUGGGCGUAAAGCGCACGUAGGCGGAUUGUUAAGUCAGGGGUGAAAUCCUGGAGCUCAACUCCAGAACUGCCUUUGAUACUGGCGAUCUCGAGUCCGGGAGAGGUGAGUGGAACUGCGAGUGUAGAGGUGAAAUUCGUAGAUAUUCGCAAGAACACCAGUGGCGAAGGCGGCUCACUGGCCCGGUACUGACGCUGAGGUGCGAAAGCGUGGGGAGCAAACAGG